rnacentral:lncRNA from 1 species
UAAACUCUAAUUAAAUCUUAAUAAUGCUAAAUAAGCUUUAAUUAAAUUCAAAAGAAACCUUAAAGAAAUUACAAAAGAAACAAUAAGAAAUCUUAAAAGAGUUAAAAAAAAUCCACAAUAAAUAUUAAAAGAAUCUUUAAGAAUAUUUAAAGAAAUAUUAAAAUAAUCACAAAUAUAUCUUAAAUAAAUCUCAAUAAAGUCCUAAUUUAAUUAUAAUUAAAAUCUUAAUGGAUUUUAAUGAAAUCCUAGGUAAAAUCCUAAAUUCUAAAUCAAAUCCUAAAUUCUAAUCUUAUCUUAAAUUCUAACCAAAUUCUAAUCAAAUCCUAAAUCCUAAUCCAACUCUAAACCUAAACCAAAUCUUAACUAAAAUCUAAUCAAUUCAAUCUAAUCUUAGUAUAGUUUAGAACCUCAAUAUCUAUGAAUUAAAGUAAUGAUCUUACUUAAAAUUUUAUAUACUUCUCA